rnacentral:rRNA from 1 species
ACGAACGCUGGCGGCGCGCCUAACCCAUGCAAGUCGAACGGAGCUGAGAGAAGCUUGCUUUUCUUAGCUUAGUGGCGAACGGGUGAGUAACGCGUGAGUAACCUGCCCUGGAGUGGGGGACAACAGUUGGAAACGACUGCUAAUACCGCAUAAGCCCACGAUCCGGCAUCGGAUUGAGGGAAAAGGAUUUAUUCGCUUCAGGAUGGACUCGCGUCCAAUUAGCUAGUUGGUGAGGUAACGGCCCACCAAGGCGACGAUUGGUAGCCGGACUGAGAGGUUGAACGGCCACAUUGGGACUGAGACACGGCCCAGACUCCUACGGGAGGCAGCAGUGGGGGAUAUUGCACAAUGGGGGAAACCCUGAUGCAGCGACGCCGCGUGGAGGAAGAAGGUUUUCGGAUUGUAAACUCCUGUCGUUAGGGACGAAAAUGACGGUACCUAACAAGAAAGCACCGGCUAACUACGUG